rnacentral:rRNA from 1 species
UACGUAGGGCGCAAGCGUUGUCCGGAAUUAUUGGGCGUAAAGAGCUCGUAGGCGGCCUGUUGCGUCCGCUGUGAAAUCCCGGGGCUCAACCCCGGGCCUGCAGUGGAUACGGGCUGGCUAGAGGCAGGCAGGGGAGAACGGAAUUCCUGGUGUAGCGGUGAAAUGCGCAGAUAUCAGGAGGAACACCGGUGGCGAAGGCAGUUCUCUGGGCCUUACCUGACGCUGAGGAGCGAAAGCGUGGGGAGCGAACAGG